rnacentral:rRNA from 1 species
CAAUAGCGUAUAUUAAAGUUGUUGCAGUUAAAAAGCUCGUAGUUGGAUUUUUAUGUAUGUUUAUCUGCCACUGGUACGGGUAACCGUCCUAAGGCUGGAAUUUUACGUACAACCUUCUCGACAGAAUGCGCCUUACGGCGCGUUUCAUCGAGACUUUUACUUUAGAAAAAUUAGAGUGUUUAAAGCAGGCAUUGUCGCCGUGAAUACAUUAGCAUGGAAUAAUAAUUUAGGACUUUGGUUCCUUUUGUUGGUAAUGCGCCAAGUAAUGAUUGAUAGGGAUAGUUGGGGGUGCUAGUAUUCAGCGGCCAGAGGUGAAAUUCUUGGAUUCGCUGAAGACUAACUUAUGCGAAAGCAUUCACCAAGGAUGUCUUCUUUAAUCAAGAACGAAAGUUGGGGGAUCGAAGACGAUUAGAUACCGU